GGGAAGCUUUCCUGCUGAUCCUAUCAGACUUCGUCCCGUCAAACCAUCAGCUAGACCACAAACCACCACCGAUGCAACUGUCAGACCGUAGGCUCCCUUUGGUCUUCCGACCCAAUCUUCUCAACGUGCUUGGUUGGGUAGAGAUUUCCUAAGUAAUCAACGGCUGUGAUAAAAGAAUUCCAGGGAAGCAAAUUACCAGCGCCAAGCAAAAAAUGGAUUACAUAAGCAAUCUUGUAGGAGUCUCU
rnacentral:misc_RNA from 1 species